rnacentral:tRNA from 1 species
GGAAACGUAUCGAAGUGGUCAUAACGAGCCGCACUCGAAAUGCGGUUGACCGCAAGGUCACGUGAGUUCGAAUCUCACCGUUUCCGCCA